rnacentral:rRNA from 1 species
UAACGGCGAGUGAAGCGGCAACAGCUCAAAUUUGAAAUCUGGCCUCUUUGGGGUCCGAGUUGUAAUUUGUAGAGGAUGUUUCGGGUACCGCCUCGGUCUAAAUUUCUUGGAACAGAAUGUCAAAGAGGGUGAGAAUCCCGUCUUGGACCGGCGGUAGGGCCCAUGUGAAACUCCUUCGACGAGUCGAGUUGUUUGGGAAUGCAGCUCAAAAUGGGUGGUAAAUUUCAUCUAAAGCUAAAUAUUGGCCAGAGACCGAUAGCGCACAAGUAGAGUGAUCGAAAGAUGAAAAGCACUUUGAAAAGAGAGUUAAACAGUAUGUGAAAUUGUUGAAAGGGAAGCGCUUGCAACCAGACUUGAGCGCGGCGGUUCCCCCUUCCUUUUGGUUGGGCUAUUCCGUCGUGUCCAGGCCAACAUCGGUUCUGGGGGUCGGUUAAAGGCUCGAGGAAUGUACCUACUCCUUCGGGGGUAGACUUAUAGCCUCGGGUGUCAUGCGACCUCCCGGGACCGAGGAACGCGCUUCGGCUCGGAUGUUGGCGUAAUGGUUGUCAGCGACCCGUCUUGAAACACGGACCAAGGAGUCUAACAUCUAUGCGAGUGUUUGGGUGUCAAACCCGGAACGCGGAAUGAAAGUGAACGGAGGUAGGAAGCCGUGAGGCUGCACUAUCGACCGAUCCUGAUGUCUUCGGAUGGAUUUGAGUAAGAGCAUAGCUGUUGG